rnacentral:lncRNA from 1 species
UUGUAAUUAGAUGUACCUAAGAUCCUAUGGAACAAUGUAAGCCAUAAUGAAAAUAUAUCGUACAUAUUUGAUGAUAUAACGCCAAUAAAGGCCUGUGGUGAUGUGGGUUAUCAUGCUACAAACAGUGGUACUUUGUUGACACACUUUGUUUAUCAAGCGAUAAUUAGAAAUGACAAAAAUAAAACUUUUGAUAUUUGUCCUUUGAAAUUUUAAGUGCAAUUUGAAGAACACGUCUAAUUCCAGGAAAUAAAUUACAGAAAAUACAAAGAAUGUGAAGACAUGCAAAUCGAGUUCUUAUCAAGUACAGAGGUGGAGAAUGCUACAGUUUGACACUGAGGUUUUAAAAAUUCCCUAUUGAAAUGAAGAGAUGCGACCCACAUUCCUAAAAACAAAGGUUGUAUUAUUCUGUCAGCUCAAUUUCAUUCUGAAAAUAGUUAUAUCUAAUCAGUUAAUUACCUUGACAUAUGCAACUUAUAACGACAUCUUAUUAUGUUACCAAAUUUAAUGUUGGUUCUGUUGUGUUAUGAACAUUGUACUACCUCACUGCACGGGUGNNNNNNNNNNNNNNNNNNNNNNNNNNNNNNNNNNNNNNNNNNNNNNNNNNNNNNNNNNNNNNNNNNNNNNNNNNNNNNNNNNNNNNNNNNNNNNNNNNNNAAUUAAAUGCAUUCUUAUUGUACUAGGUUUCUGAUGUGUGAUGAUCAACAUUGUUUGGUGAACUAUUGAAUUUGGCCUGAGUUUAUGGGAUUUUAAAUUUAGUUUGUGUUGGACUAUGUCAAUUUCGUAAUGCCUUUUAGUUUGGGUGAUGUAGAUUGUGUUUUCCAACCUAAAGAAUGUUGCGUGAUCAAUCUGUUUUUUCUUGCAAGCACUAUGGUAGUAAUUAAAAAGUUAAACAUUUCUCUACACUAAUAUGUGCAGGGAAAGUUAAACUUGCGUCUUUAUUAGUUCUGUAAGUACUAAAUCCCAACAUAAGAAUUAUAAAAGCUAAUCUCCAGGCCAUGAUGAUGAUGAUUGAUGAUGAUAGUUCAAUGUCGCACGUGUUAGUUUAUGUGGUAGGCUCAAGGAGUGGCGAGUAACCAACCAAUUAGAUCCAUCUUAUAAAGGAAGGAUUCUGAUAGUAUAGUUUCAAAUAUUCCGUACAUUAAUUUGUGAGGUAUAUAAAAAUAAAUUAAGUAUUAAUUUGUGAGGUAUAUUCCUUACAUUAAAGCUCUUGUUUAUCUUCAUGCAUAUGGACACAUCCAUAGAGAUGUGAUUGUCUAUUUGGAUUUGUAGCAAAUGAUAUUGUGAUUGCCAAUUUAUCUUUUUCUGCUUAUGAGCAAUACAGUGUACAUUAGUACCACGUAGCAACUCUAUUGUCUUUGUGUAUUGAUUUUGGCACUAAGUGCCUCUGGUGACUUAUUUGUUUCAUUUUUCUGACUUAUUAUUUUUAAAUGUGCAGGAAGACUGCUUCUACGACUUGCCUUAGAAUACUGGGUAUCAAAUUUUUGUGCUACGCUUACGGAAGACGAGGGACGGAAUUAUGAAGUAUACUCUCUCUAUAUAUGUAGAUAUAUACUUUGAUUGAAGAACUGUGGUAGCUUUANNNNNNNNNNNNNNNNNNNNNNNNNNNNNNNNNNNNNNNNNNNNNNNNNNNNNNNNNNNNNNNNNNNNNNNNNNNNNNNNNNNNNNNNNNNNNNNNNNNNUAUAUGUGCACAGCGUAUCUAACUAUCACUGUGCAUUUUUGGGGCUCUUCUUUUUUCUCUCUUUUUUAAAUUUGGGAAGCAUAUGCUUUUUGGUUAAACUGAUUUGCUAGUUUUAGUGCACCAUAGGGCCCAGUUAUUCUUGUUUCACACCUUUUAUUUUUAAUUGAUUUGUUAAUUUCCAUGAUUUUUCUUCUUCAACUAUUAACUAGGUUCCUCGAAUGGUUAAAUGGCUAUAACUAUUAUCCUGUCAAUGGUAUAUAGUUAUUCUCAAAAAAAUCUUAGUAAUUUGUGUAUUUAAAAUAAUUUAAUGACCUUUUUCUAGAUAAAUAUGAAAUUGAAGUUGAGUUUGAAAAUACUCAAUUGUUACAAUGUACUGCCCUCUCUAUGAGAGUACUUGUUUCUUUUUGGAACAGGGGGGAGUAUUAUAGGCUAUUUUUAUUAACAUUGCUUAAUGUGGACUGAAAGCAUUAUUAUUUUUAUUAAAAAUUUUAAGUUUUAUGUAUUUUGCUAAUUUUAUAUUGUAUCAUAUAUACUAAUUUUUUGAGAUAUUAUUUGAGCACGUUUUUAGCAAUUGCUGAAAUUUUUUCUAUCUUCUUUUGUAAAUAUCUUACUUUAUUAAACAUUUAAACCAAUAUUACUUGUUAAGAUAUUUCAUGCAUUCAACCUAAUUAUAGUAUGCCAUAAAGUUAAAUAUGCUUUGCAAAAGUACAAGGAUGGGGUCAGUUAUUUUGUGUAAGAAUUUUAUUUCGUUCUUUCUUUCUUUUCUUACAUUUUAUUUUAACUUCAAAUUUGAUUAUAAUUAGUUAUAAAUUCUCGUGUAAAAUGGUAAAAGUGAGUUCUUUGAAAUGUAACACAUAUUCUUUCCAAGCUAGCAAAACUCUUUUAUAUGAAGUUUUUUGUUUCUUUAGUAGGUGGAAUAUAACAAUUGUUAAUCAAUUUUUGUGUGUGUGUGUUUGUGAAAUGGCAACAGAAAGAUGUGGGAAUGGCAAGGUGAUGAUUUUUCUCUCCAAGAAGGUAUCAAUCUUGAUGAGUCCCUAGAAUUAUUUUCAACUAGUAAGUUAAGAUACUUGAAAUUACUGAUACUAACUAGUUGUUGUAAUUAGAUGUACCUAAGAUCCUAUGGAACAAUGUAAGCCAUAAUGAAAAUAUAUCGUACAUAUUUGAUGAUAUAACGCCAAUAAAGGCCUGUGGUGAUGUGGGUUAUCAUGCUACAAACAGUGGUACUUUGUUGACACACUUUGUUUAUCAAGCGAUAAUUAGAAAUGACAAAAAUAAAACUUUUGAUAUUUGUCCUUUGAAAUUUUAAGUGCAAUUUGAAGAACACAUGUCUAAUUCCAGGAAAUAAAUUAUAGAAAAUACAAAGAAUGUGAAGACAUGCAAACCGAGUUCUUAUCAAGUACAGAGGUGGAGAAUGCUACAGUUUGACACUGAGGUUUUAAAAAUUCCCUAUUGCAAUGAAGAGAUGCGACCCACAUUCCUAAAAACAAAGGUUGUAUUAUUCUGUCAGCUCAAUUUCAUUCUGAAAAUAGUUAUAUCUAAUCAGUUAAUUACCUUGUCAUAUACAACUUAUAACGACAUCUUAUUAUGUUACCAAAUUUAAUGUUGGUUCUGUUGUGUUAUGAACAUUGUACUACCUCACUGCACGGGUGGGUCUACAUAUUAUAGAGUUAUAGUCAUUACUCGUUAGACAGGGGCCAGAGGUGUAGAUUGUUUUUGCGGGAGUUUGCUUCUUCACUUCAGGUGGCCAAUGCUCUUUCAGUGAACCUUCGCCAACAUGAUAAUUUGGUUGAAGAUUUAUUUAUCCUCUAUGGUAAGAUCUUCAAGUUUGUGCUUGAUUGCUAUCUAUUUGCUCCUUCACCAUAUAUUAAGUUCUAACUCAAAAUGUUAUACUUUUAAAAAAUUCUGUUUUUGUGAAAUGCUUUUAAAUUAAAUGCAUUCUUAUUGUACUAGGUUUCUGAUAUGUGUGAUAAUCAACAUUGUUUGGUGAACUAUUGAAUUUGGCCUGAGUUUAUGGGAUUUUAAAGUUAGUUUGUGUUGGACUAUGUCAAUUUCGUAAUGCCUUUUAGUUUGGGUGAUGUAGAUUUUGUGUUUUCCAACCUAAAGAAUGUUGCGUGAUCAAUCUGUUUUUCUUGCAAGCACUAUGGUAGUAAUUAAAAAGUUAAACAUUUGUCUACACUAAUAUGUGCAGGGAAAGUUAAACUUGUGUCUUUUAUUAGUUCUGUAAGUACUAAAUCCCAACAUAAGAAUUCUGAAAGCUAGUCUCCAGGCCAUGAUGAUGAUGAUUGAUGAUGAUAGUUCAAUGUCGCACGUGUUAGUUUAUGUGGUAGGCUCAAGGAGUGGCGAGUAACCAACCAAUUAGAUCCAUCUUAUAAAGGAAGGAUUCUGAUAGUAUAGUUUCAAAUAUUCCGUACAUUAAUUUGUGAGGUAUAUAAAAAUAAAUUAAGUAUUAAUUUGUGAGGUAUAUUCCUUACAUUAAAGCUCUUGUUUAUCUUCAUGCAUAUGGACACAUCCAUAGAGAUGUGAUUGCCUAUUUGGAUUUUUAGCAAAUGAUAUUGUGAUUGUCAAUUUGUCUUUUUCUGCUUAUGAGCAAUACGGUGUACAUUAGUACCACGUAGCAACUCUAUUGUCUUUGUGUAUUGAUUUUGGCACUAAGUGCCUCUGGUGACUUAUUUUUUUCAUUUUUCUGACUUGCUAUUAUUUUUAAAUGUGCAGGAAGACUGCUUCUACGACAUGCCUUAGAAUAUUGGGUAUCAAAUUUUCAUGCUACGAUUACGGAAGACGAGGGACGGAAUUAUGAAGUAUACUCUCUAUAUAUGUAGAUAUAUACUUUGAUUGAAAAACUGUGGUAGCUUUAGAUGGUUAAUUGUAAAGAUAAUGAAUGAUUAUGUAGUGGAUGAUUUUAUUAAGUUAAUAAUAUUUUAGUUUUUUGUAUUUUUGCUAUUAUUUGCUAUGGGCACAUUGAGUCAGCC